rnacentral:rRNA from 1 species
AGUGAACGCUGGCGGUAGGCCUAACACAUGCAAGUCGAACGGCAGCACAGUAAGAGCUUGCUCUUACGGGUGGCGAGUGGCGGACGGGUGAGGAAUACAUCGGAAUCUACUUUUUCGUGGGGGAUAACGUAGGGAAACUUACGCUAAUACCGCAUACGACCUACGGGUGAAAGCAGGGGAUCUUCGGACCUUGCGCGAUUGAAUGAGCCGAUGUCGGAUUAGCUAGUUGGCGGGGUAAAGGCCCACCAAGGCGACGAUCCGUAGCUGGUCUGAGAGGAUGAUCAGCCACACUGGAACUGAGACACGGUCCAGACUCCUGCGGGAGGCAGCAGUGGGGAAUAUUGGACAAUGGGCGCAAGCCUGAUCCAGCCAUACCGCGUGGGUGAAGAAGGCCUUCGGGUUGUAAAGCCCUUUUGUUGGGAAAGAAGAGCAGCAGGUUAAUACCCCGCUGUUCUGACGGUACCCAAAGAAUAAGCACCGGCUAACUUCGUG